rnacentral:rRNA from 1 species
UACGGAGGUGGCAAGCGUUGCUCGGAUUUACUGGGUGUAAAGGGCAUGUAGGCGAUCUUGUAAGCCUUACCUAAAAGGCAAUGGCUCAACCAUUGUUUUCGGUGGGGGACUGCAAGAAUAGAGGGUGGAAGAGGUGAGCGGAACUCCCGGUGUAAGGGUGAAAUCUGUAGAUAUCGGGAAGAACACCAGUGGCGAAAGCGGCUCACUAGGCCACUCCUGACGCUGAGACGCGAAAGCUAGGGGAGCAAACAGG